rnacentral:rRNA from 1 species
AUGGUACCUAACCUUCUUCUUUCACGUCUUUCCAUAGAGGGGAACAGCCGGUUGUGUGUCUCUGUCAGGGACUACUACUAUUACCAGCUACAGACGCGCCCUGCGAUAUUCAACCCCAUACUACGUGGAGCACGCUUGUUUCAGCAGUGGGGUGUCGACAUGUUCAUCAAGAUUGAGGGAUGUAGGCUGAAGUGGAUCAGGGACCACUAG